CCUACGGGGGGCAGCAGUGGGGAAUAUUGCACAAUGGGGGAAACCCUGAUGCAGCGACGCCGCGUGAAGGAAGAAGAAGUUCGGUAUGUAAGCUUCUAUCAGCAGGGAAGAAAAUGACGGUACCUGACUAAGAAGCCCCGGCUAACUACGUGCCAGCAGCCGCGGUAAUACGUAGGGGGCAAGCGUUAUCCGGAUUUACUGGGUGUAAAGGGAGCGUAGGCGGUGCAGCAAGUCAGAAGUGAAAGCCCGGGGCGCAACUCCGGGACUGCUUUUGAAACUGUUGAACUAGAUUGCAGGAGAGUUCAGUUGCCUUCCUCUUGUAGCGGUGAACUGCGUAGCUAUUCGGAG
rnacentral:rRNA from 1 species